ACGGGGCCCGCACAAGCGGUGGAGCAUGUGAUUCAAUUCGACGCAACGCGAAGAACCUUACCUGGGCUUGACAUCCUUUGACAGCCUCGGAAACGAGGUCUUCCCUGCUUGCAGGGACAGAGUGACAGGUGCUGCAUGGCUGUCGUCAGCUCGUGUCGUGAGAUGUUGGGUUAAGUCCCGCAACGAGCGCAACCCUUGUCUUUAGUUGCCAGUAUUAAGUUAGGCACUCUAAAGAUACUGCCUCGGUUAACGAGGAGGAAGGUGGGGACGACGUCAAGUCCUCAUGGCCUUUAUGCCCAGGGCUACACACGUGCUACAAUGGGUGGUACAAAGGGCUGCAACAUCGCGAGAUGAAGCCAAUCCCAAAAAGCCGCCCUCAGUUCGGAUUGGAGUCUGCAACUCGACUCCAUGAAGUUGGAAUCGCUAGUAAUCGUGGAUCAGGAUGCCACGGUGAAUACGUUCCCGGGCCUU
rnacentral:rRNA from 1 species